rnacentral:rRNA from 1 species
GUGUCAGCAGCCGCGGUAAUACGGAGGGUGCGAGCGUUGUCCGGAAUCACUGGGCGUAAAGGGCGCGUAGGCGGCCUGACAAGCGUGUGGUGAAAGCUCGGGGCUCAACCCCGAGUCGGCCGUGCGAACUGUUGGGCUGGAGUGCUGUAGAGGCGGGCGGAAUUCCGGGUGUAGCGGUGGAAUGCGUAGAGAUCCGGAAGAACACCGGUGGCGAAGGCGGCCCGCUGGGCAGUGACUGACGCUGAGGCGCGACAGCGUGGGGAGCAAACAGGAUUAGAUACCCGCGUAGUCC